CCGCUUAACUCCGUGUUGCCCGGAGCGCUCGGUGCAGGGUACGGCUCUGCUGUGGUGAACAGGCGUUGUACUGCCUGGGGUCCCUGAUAAGGGACGGGCCCCGCUAUAGGGGAUAGCCCGUGCUGCAGGGGGUGAGCCCAUGCUGCCUGCAGCCUCUGCUGGGGGGCAGGCCCUGUGCUGCAGGUACCCACAGUGAGGGACAGGCCCUGCUAUAGGGGAAGAGCUGAGCAGUAGGGGACAGGCCCUGCUGUAGGGCAAGAGAGAUGCUGCAGUGGACAGGCCCUGUGACAGGGGAAGAGCCAUGCUAUAGGGGACAGGCCCCAUGCUGCCUGCAGCUCCCUAUAGGGGACAGGUGCCACGAUAGGGGACAGGCCCCGCUAGAAGGGACAGUAUGGGCCCCACAGUGACUCAGCUGCAGGCUGGGUGGUUUUAAUGCUGCAUCCCUCUGCACUGGGGGAGAAAAAAGAGGUGAUAACAUUCUCAUUUUGAGACUCCUGUGUGUUGUUCAGACCUUUCGCUUGAGAACUUAGCCAUCCUGAGGAGCAACAGAUAACUCGGGUUCCCUGGGAACAGACACACAGCUCUGACCCAGCCAGCUCUUCUCAUCGAGCACAGGAUGAGCGUUUAUUGUCUUGUGAUCAAAACACAAACAGAAAGCAGAGCCCCGCAAGUGACACAAAACAUCGCACGCGGACACGUGAUGCCGAGCAGAACUGGGAGCUGGGUCCGGGUUAAUGGUGUGAAGAGAUCGAAUGUAAA